CCUACGGGUGGCAGCAGUGAGGAAUAUUGGUCAAUGGGCGCGAGCCUGAACCAGCCAAGUCGCGUGAGGGAAGACGGUCCUAUGGAUUGUAAACCUCUUUUGUCGGGGAGCAAAAGACGCCACGCGUGGCGUUCCGAGAGUACCCGAAGAAAAAGCAUCGGCUAACUCCGGGCCAGCAGCCGGGGUAAUACGGAGGAUGCGAGCGUUAUCCGGAUUUAUUGGGUUUAAAGGGUGCGCAGGCGGAAGAUCAAGUCAGCGGUAAAAUUGAGGGGCUCAACCUCGCUCCGCCGUUGAAACUGGCGUUCUUGAGUGGGCGAGAAGUAUGCGGAAUGCGUGGUGUAGCGGUGAAAUGCAUAGAUAUCACGCAGAACUCCGAUUGCGAAGGCAGCAUACCGGCGCCCAACUGACGCUGAAGCACGAAAGCGUGGGUAUCGAACAGGAUUAGAUACCCUUGUAGUC
rnacentral:rRNA from 1 species